GUGUGCCUGGCUCCCUGUAUGCCAUUUGCAGAGCCCAUCAAAACAUUGAUGGCCUUAGUGAAUGGCGUACAAGAAGUCAAGCAUGC
rnacentral:pre_miRNA from 1 species